rnacentral:rRNA from 1 species
UACGAACUGUGCAAGCGUUAUUCGGAUUCACUGGGCUUAAAGGGUGCGUAGGCGGCCAUGUAAGUAGGGUGUGAAAUCCCCCGGCUUAACCGGGGAACUGCGCCCUAAACUGUAUGGCUGGAGUGAGAUAGGGGUGUGUGGAACUUCCGGUGGAGCGGUGAAAUGUGUUGAUAUCGGAAGGAACGCCGGUGGCGAAAGCGACACACUGGGUCUCAACUGACGCUGAGGCACGAAAGCCAGGGGAGCGAACGGG